AAGGCCCCUUCGGGGGUACACGAGUGGCGAACGGGUGAGUAACACGUGGGUAAUCUGCCCUGCACUUCGGGAUAAGCCUGGGAAACUGGGUCUAAUACCGGAUAUGAACUCCUGCCGCAUGGUGGGGGUUGGAAAGUUUUUCGGUGCAGGAUGAGCCCGCGGCCUAUCAGCUUGUUGGUGGGGUAAUGGCCUACCAAGGCGACGACGGGUAGCCGGCCUGAGAGGGUGAUCGGCCACACUGGGACUGAGACACGGCCCAGACUCCUACGGGAGGCAGCAGUGGGGAAUAUUGCACAAUGGGCGAAAGCCUGAUGCAGCGACGCCGCGUGGGGGAUGACGGUCUUCGGAUUGUAAACCCCUUUCAGUAGGGACGAAGCGCAAGUGACGGUACCUGCAGAAGAAGCACCGGCUAACUACGUGCCAGCAGCCGCGGUAAUACGUAGGGUGCGAGCGUUGUCCGGAAUUACUGGGCGUAAAGAGCUCGUAGGCGGUUUGUCACGUCGUCUGUGAAAUCCCUCGGCUUAACCGGGGGCGUGCAGGCGAUACGGGCAGACUUGAGUACUACAGGGGAGACUGGAAUUCCUGGUGUAGCGGUGAAAUGCGCAGAUAUCAGGAGGAACACCGGUGGCGAAGGCGGGUCUCUGGGUAGUAACUGACGCUGAGGAGCGAAAGCAUGGGUAGCGAACAGGAUUAGAUACCCUGGUAGUCCAUGCCGUAAACGGUGGGCGCUAGGUGUGGGGUCCUUCCACGGACUCCGUGCCGUAG
rnacentral:rRNA from 1 species